CAGGUUAUUUUUUUUUCUUUUCUUUUCUUUCUUUUUUGUCUUUCCCCUUACUUGCCUUGAUU
rnacentral:ribozyme from 1 species